UACGGGAGGCAGCAGUGGGGAAUAUUGGACAAUGGGCGAAAGCCUGAUCCAGCCAUGCCGCAUGAGUGAAGAAGGCCUUCGGGUUGUAAAGCUCUUUUAGUGAGAAAGAUAAUGACGGUACUCACAGAAGAAGUCCUGGCUAACUCCGUGCCAGCAGCCGCGGUAAUACGGAGAGGGCUAGCGUUAUUCGGAAUUAUUGGGCGUAAAGAGCGCGUAGGCUGAUUAGUAAGUUAAAAGUGAAAUCCCAAAGCUUAACUUUGGAAUUGCUUUUUAAAACUGCUAGUCUAGAGAUUGAAAGAGGAUAGAGGAAUUCCUAGUGUAGAGGUGAAAUUCGUAAAUAUUAGGAGGAACACCAGUGGCGAAGGCGUCUAUCUGGUUCAAAUCUGACGCUGAGGCGCGAAGGGCGUGGGGAGCGAAACAGGGAUUUAGAUACC
rnacentral:rRNA from 1 species